CGGGAACCUGCGGUCGGCGCGGGACCCGGGCGCGUGCUCCGAGGAAGCCCGGCUCCUGGGAAGGCUUCGGGGCAGGAACCUGACGAGGCUGCGCUUUGCUCCAGAAACGUGCAAAUCACGGCGGACAGCUGCUGCGAGGGACCCCGCAGGAAGGCAGACACUCACCCAGUGGGCCCGAGGCCUCGGCCACUGCCCCGCUGUGAGGGCUCCGCCGGGGCUGGGCAGGCGGCAGCCACGCGCCCUCCUGGGGCCCCAGCUCUAACGCCUGCAACGGCAAACAGCCCUGCUCAGCAGCUGCCCGGAGAGCAGCCCACCCGGUGCCCCAGCACAGCAGAGGGAUGGCAUGGCCUGUCAGAAAUACAGGAGCCCCGACAUUAAAGCCGCCAAACUCGUAAGCAGUACUCGGUAGGAGUUUAUCAUGCACGUGAGAACAGUUCUCAGACUGGGAGCUUUCAAACCCAAGAAUGGUCUGAACUUCAGACGCAUGCCGUCCCCGGAUGGCCUCUGCAGUGACCAAGAGGAGGCUUACCCUUUACAGUGACGGUUCUUAAGGUGGGGGUCCCCCAACGGCAGCGGACUGACUCUGAGUGAUUGUUUUUUGCUGUUUUUAGAACAAUGGCUUACCUUUCUUUUAUGAUUAUCAGCGGCAUAAUUACUUAAUUAUAGUAAAAGUGAUGUGUGUGCUUGUACAGGUCUAAUAAUUUUAACAUAUGUAUGGAUUCCUAAAAGUGCCUAUCAAGACACAGAACAGUUCCACUGUCCUGGGAAAAACUCCCUCAUGUCACCCCUGUAUAGUCAACCCUUCCUCCACCUGUAUGUAACUCUUGCCUGUAAACCACUGGUCUGUUCUCCGUGGCUAUAGUUUUGUCUGUUCAAGAAUGUCAUGGGAGUGGACCUACACAGUAUGUAACCUUUUGAAGUUGUUUUUUUGACAGCAUAAUGCCAAAGUUUUUUUCUUUAUAUUGCCAGGGUGAUAUUCCCUGGUGUGCAAAAUAAACAAUCUGCUUAUCCUUUGCAUGGA